rnacentral:lncRNA from 1 species
GUUCUUUCUUUACAAACUUCUCACCUCUCAGACAGGCUGGAAAGGUAGAUACUGUCUUCCAUGAUUAAUCCUGAGACCCUUAGUGCAAGGGGCUCUAAGUAAAACCAAUCCUUGCCGCCCCAGGCCAGUUUUGUGCUGUCCACUGGAUACUGGCCAACUGUGCCACAGAGCUACACAGGAAGGAAUUCAGUGUAUGGUCAUGGUACUCAGGAAAAGCAAAUGACACUUUCCCCACUUUCUUCUGAGACUAGCUGCCACCUUCCGGGGACUCGAAGUUUGCUCUGGAAAGGACAGACUUUAUUUCCCUCCUUGAGGCUAGUGUAAACCACCAAGAAACACUCCAAGGGUGAAUUUAGGACCUUUAGGAGUUACCCUAUGGUAGGUAAGGUUGUCUCUGUGCAAAAUGGGGCGAUACAAAAAGAAACCCUUAGGCAGAAAGGUAGAGAAGCAACAAGGGUUAGAAAACUCAGUUCAGAGGACUAUUGAAUAGUUGGCCUUGAUGAGUGGGCAGGCAGUGGGGCAAGGGACUCUUGGGGUCUGUUCUGGAAGACGUGUGGGAAGGCAGCUCAAGGAGGAAAAGCCAUGGCAAAGAAACAAACGCCACUAUGUGUAGGGAGUUGCAACGUGCCGCGCCUCAAAGAUGGCGCUGGUUUCCGCCUUCCACCCUCCCAACGGUGAGCGCUCCUUGUAGUAAACAUGUCCUUAUUUGGCUAUGCCUGCUUGGCCUGGUCACUUCCGCAUAGUGACAGCCUAUCUGCAUGACCCACAUGGCUUGCUGGGAUUGGCCAGCGCUAGCUAUUUAAGUGUGGUGCGGGGGUUCCCCGGGGUCAGAAGAUUGUAUCAAGUUUCCUGAGUAAAACUGCUUGAAGAAG